UGUAAAGAGAGAGGGACUCGGAGAGAGAACAGGUAGAACCUGAUAUGUAAAUGAGCAGAGCAAACGAAAGUAACUUUCUACGACCAAAUGAUCAUUCAGACUCUGUUUCUAUUGAGAGAUAAAAGGCUGGUUGAAUGAGCUGCCUGUGAAAGCUACUUCAUCUGCAAGAAAACAGGCGGCUGCACCAGUGACUGUCAGAAGUUUUGUGAUUUCCUCAUAUGAACGUGAAAGGGUCAGUGCUCUAAAAUGAGUCUCUCUGGGGAGAGAGAGGAGGGACCUGCCUCUAAAAUGAGACUCUCUGGGGAGAGAGAGGAGGGGGGCCCCGCCUCUAAAAUGAG